AAAUUGAAGAGUUUGAUCAUGGCUCAGAUUGAACGCUGGCGGCAGGCCUAACACAUGCAAGUCGAACGGUAGCACAGAGAGCUUGCUCUCGGGUGACGAGUGGCGGACGGGUGAGUAAUGUCUGGGAAACUGCCUGAUGGAGGGGGAUAACUACUGGAAACGGUGGCUAAUA
rnacentral:rRNA from 5 species